AAAAACAUGGCUCUUUGAUUAUAUAAAAUAUAAAGAGUCGAACCUGCCCGGUGAAGAUUUUUAACGGCCGCGGUACUCUGACCGUGCAAAGGUAGCAUAAUCAUUUGCCUUAUAAUUGAAGGCUAGUAUGAAUGGUUUGACGAAAACAACACUGUCUCCUUUUUAUUUUCUAGAAUUUAACUUUUAGGUGAAGAGGCCUAAAUUUUAUUGAAGGACAAGAAGACCCUGUCGAGCUUAAAAGACACUGUAGAAUCCUGUAUACUUUUAAAUAAAUUUCUACUAAACUUUUUAGUUGGGGCGACUAAGGAACAAAAAAAGCUUCUUGUUAAGAAUAAACAGUCAUGUUUAGAUCCAGUAGAUAGCUGAUUAAAGGAAUUAGUUACCGCAGGGAUAACAGCAUAAUCUCUCUUGAGAGGCCUAAUCGAAAGAGGGGGUUGUGACCUCGAUGUUGGACUAGAAUAUCCUAAAGAUGCAGAAGUCUUUAAGGGUCGGUCUGUUCGACCGUUAAAAUUCUACGUGAUCUGA
rnacentral:rRNA from 1 species